UACGUAGGGGGCGAGCGUUAUCCGGAUUCAUUGGGCGUAAAGCGCGCGUAGGCGGCCGCCUAAGCGGAACCUCUAACCCCGGGGCUCAACCUCGGGCCGGGUUCCGGACUGGGCGGCUCGAGUGCGGUAGAGGAGAGCGGAAUUCCCGGUGUAGCGGUGGAAUGCGCAGAUAUCAGGAGGAACAUCGGUGGCGAAAGCGCUUUACUGGACCAUUAUUGACGCUGAGGAACGAAAGCCAGGGGAGCAAAUGGG
rnacentral:rRNA from 1 species